AAUCUAAAGAAAACAUUUCUGCACACACACCAGACUAUUGAAGCCAGUGUGUGGAAAUGCUUCUGCCACAUU
rnacentral:pre_miRNA from 11 species